rnacentral:lncRNA from 1 species
UUUGAACCUAAACUACCCAAACUUCCGCCCAAUAACACCUAAGACCAAUCUUGCCCCGUGUAAACUGACCCAGACACCUUAAACCACAAUGUUUGAUAAAAAACGUUCAACGACUCAUAACCCUCAACCACUCUUCUCUUAUAACCCGACUCGAAACCCUAGACAUAUUGUCUCUGUCCCGCCGCGCUCAUAUGCUCUCAUCUCACCUUCCCUCUCUAUCAAACCCUAGCCGUCAUAACCCCUAAGCCUCUACGAUUCCAGCUCAAACAUGGAAUCAAUCCAUGAUUUACUUACCUAUUUUGUAUAUUCUAUCAUUAUACACAUGAUUCUGGCAUCACUUAGUUCUUUUCCUAUUUUUGGCAAGAACUACCUCUCAAGAACAGGCCGAUUUUCACUUCGAUUUUAUGAAGAUCCGGCGAUCUUCCGUCUUUAUAUAUGUUAAAUUGAACAGUCAUUGUAUUUUGUGUCUGAUUCAAGACGUCAAUCUCAAACAGGGUUUAAUAUUUUCCUUUAUUCUUUACUGACUUAUGAUUGAUACUCUUCCCUUUCUUGUGUUAAACUGAUAUUUUCCUCAUUUUAGCUUAACUCACCAGGUUUCCCUUAUUUUAAAUUUAUCUCGCCUUAAAACGAACUCUAAUUGAUUUUCAUAUGAUAUUUUUCUUAUUCUCUGUUGAACUUAUUGUAUUUUCUUAUUUUGAGUACUACUUGAUUCUUGCAUAUUACUUUUUAUCCCUUGUUUAAAUCACUGAUUUUCCUCAUUCUAUGUGUUAAAUGCCCUAAAAUUGAUUUUGAAUGAUUCUAGUAUAUCUUCCCUAUUUGUGUUUGAAAAUUUUGUUUCUAUGUUUACUUGUUUGAUUUCUACUAUAUAAACCCCUUACAGAAGAGAUUUUAAGACCCGGACUCUGACUACUGUUUUCCACUACUCUCUCAUUCACUUACUGUUACUUUCAAACUUGCUGAAACUAUUGAAUAACCUCCUCUGGUGCAAGCACUGCUUGGAGCCCAUUCUCGAGGCUCUUGUGAACUCUGAAGCAUCGGGGAUUUAGGGUUUUUUCUUCUAUGAUCUGCACUCUUUUAAUCUCGCUACUAGUUAGUAUUUAAACUCUCAUAAUAUUUAAAUUCUUUGCUGCAUAUGUACAUGAAUUUUCAUUCAACUGUGAUGGUGUUCAACUUUCAUGUCAUUCUAUGACACAUGAGAAUAGUCUACUACAAUUUGCAUUCUCUGAUCUCUCAUCUCUAGACCUUGUAGCAUCUUACAUGUUAAUUUGGGCUCCAAUUUUGUGGUUGUAUGAGUUUAUGAAUAUUGUGAUUAACUAAUGUUCUCAUGACACCCGAUCAUGUUUGUAUUAUACUUUUUAAUCCUAAGUUUGGUAAAUUUAAUCCUCUAAGUUCUAAAUUGGUUGCAUAACUUGGUUUUAUUAGUCCAAUGCCGUGCCUGUUAACUUUACAACCCUUGAUUCUUUGUCUUUUGUCAUAUGUUACCCUGCUAAUAUGCUAGUUUAUGUUCAGUAUGGGAUUAUCUUGUAAGUUCGAAAAUGCUUUUUCAAAACCUAUUACAUUAGUAUUAUUUUCACUAGUUGUUUCUUGUCAGGAGUUUAAUUCUGGGGCUGGUUGAAAGCCAAAUCCCUCCAUCUAAGUCUCCUCUAUCAACCUCUCUUGUGUGAGCACAACCCUGGGUUCUUGAAGCCCUAGGGAGCUAUGGCGCACUAAGGUCCAAGGUUCUUUGUCACUUUUCCUAAUUGCUCAACUAUGAACCAUUUCCACUUACUGGAAAAGACAAUGAGCUUGUGUAAAUGGUUGUCUUUCUAGGACUGUUGGUCAUCUCUGGCUACUGGGUUUUGGCUAUUCUGUGUGUAAAUGAAGAACAUUUUCGGGGUUUAAUUGGAUAUGAUUUCUGGGCUAUUUUAAAACCUGUUGGAUAUGAUGGGCUGGGUAUUUAGCUGUGUAUUUAGGCCUGUUAUAGACAUGUCUAUUGCCAUGUAAUAUUACUAUUUUACCUGUUAAUAUGGGUAUUAAUAAUACACUAUAUAAAUAAUUGGGCUGUUAGUGAAAGAGGAAUGGGUAAAAUUCUAAAUAUGACAUGGGUAGAUAACAUGCCUAUUGGACUUGACAAUGUGUUUCCUAUACGUGUUGUUCGAUUACAUGAGCCCUAUAGAAAUCAUGAUAUUAUGAGAAGCACACACACAACCCUACUUGUUAACUAUGCAGGCACUAUGUCUACUAUUGCGUGGAUAUAGAUCGCAUAUCU